rnacentral:rRNA from 1 species
GACGAACCGAGCGAACGUUUAUUCGGAAUCACUGGGCUUAAAGGGCGCGUAGGCGGGCCUGAAAGUCAGGGGUGAAAGCCCCCAGCUCAACUGGGGAAGUGCCUCUGAUACUGCGGGCCUCGAGCGAGGUAGGGGCGUGCGGAACUUCCGGUGGAGCGGUGAAAUGCGUAGAUAUCGGAAGGAACAUCGGUGGCGAAAGCGGCGCGCUGGACCUCUUCUGACGCUGAGGCGCGAAAGCCAGGGGAGCGAACGGG